UAUGAAUUCGUAAAGACGUGAAAUACGAAAUUACGCAAAUCGGCCUUCAUUUGCUAAACAAAACGAGAGAGAAAAAUAUUUGCAGCCGAUAAGGGUUAUUUUCCAAUAUCACGUCUGCCUCUCGUUCCACAAGAAUGUUGAUGUUCGUAAUAACUGCCCUGGCAUUUCCUACCCUAACUCUUUCAGGUAACCCGUGCACAGUGCAAGAACUCAGAGUCAACGCAGAACCAGUUAUGAAGACUUAUAUUAACUACACUUUUAUCGGGCCAGCUAACUGUUCUUCGCUUAGGUGUAGUGGACCAGUCAGCAGUGCGUCUAUAAUUACCUGUGAAGACACCAGUCGGCAAUUAUACUCCUUUACGAUCCAGG